rnacentral:rRNA from 1 species
UACGUAGGGUGCGAGCGUUAAUCGGAAUUACUGGGCGUAAAGCGUGCGCAGGCGGUUUUGCAAGCCGGAUGUGAAAUCCCCGGGCUUAACCUGGGAAUGGCAUUUGGGACUGCAAGGCUGGAGUGCGGCAGAGGAGACUGGAAUUCCUGGUGUACCAGUGAAAUGCGUAGAUAUCAGGAGGAACACCGAUGGCGAAGGCAGGUCUCUGGGCUGAGAUUGACGCUCAGGCACGAAAGCGUGGGGAGCAAACAGG